rnacentral:rRNA from 1 species
UGGGGAAUAUUGCACAAUGGGCGCAAGCCUGAUGCAGCCAUGCCGCGUGUGUGAAGAAGGCCUUCGGGUUGUAAAGCACUUUCAGCGGGGAGGAAGGCGUUAAGGUUAAUAACCUUGGCGAUUGACGUUACCCGCAGAAGAAGCACCGGCUAACUCCGUGCCAGCAGCCGCGGUAAUACGGAGGGUGCAAGCGUUAAUCGGAAUUACUGGGCGUAAAGCGCACGCAGGCGGUCUGUCAAGUCGGAUGUGAAAUCCCCGGGCUCAACCUGGGAACUGCAUUCGAAACUGGCAGGCUAGAGUCUCGUAGAGGGGGGUAGAAUUCCAGGUGUAGCGAUGAAAUGCGUAGAGAUCUGGAGGAAUACCGGUGGCGAAGGCGGCCCCCUGGACAAAGACUGACGCUCAGGUGCGAAAGCGUGGGGAGCAAACAGG